rfam:Bombyx mori DNA, contig: Bm_scaf85_contig33558, strain: p50T/Dazao, build 2, whole genome shotgun sequence.
UUAGCUCAUAUUUGUAUGGAGUGGGAUCGUUGGCCUACGUUUGCCGUUAAGGGCGCUGUUCCAACUGCAUACAAAAUUGGGUAA